GGGGAUGUACUGGCUUCGACGGGGGAUAUUCGGUGACUUGAGGAGCGAGCCGAGCUCACACUUACUCGUAAAACAGUGUACCUAAAUUUAAACGCUAAAAACAAUAACAAUUUAGCUUUCGCUGCUUAAUUGCAGUCGAACUCUCUACCUGCUGUGCCUGCGGUGCGGGAUAGAGAGUCAACCCAGCAGGCUACCAUCAGCCCACUGUCGGAUAAGCUGACGGGAAACUCAUCUGACUGGCUCGUGCAGAGUUUGUCUGCGGACGCUGCCCGAGUGAGAUCAAAACACAAACUACGCUCGUAGGGCCCCAGGUGGUCGGUCUUCCGGACAUGGGUUCGACUCCCAUCAUCUCCAUC
rnacentral:tmRNA from 1 species